CGGUGAGGUAGAGGUCGCAGCUUUUAUGAGUAAAUCGGACGAGACACGGGUAAAGUUUAAGACUCCGGUUGAAAGGAAAAGCUGCCGAAAUGUGGUGCCGGAUCCCGCGGUGCCAUGUUGGGGCUGUUUCCGAACAGGAACAGAACUGUCACAUAUGCGAUUCCCCCUCGCAUAUGUGUUGAGCUAUCUUCGGA
rfam:Bacillus coagulans 36D1, complete genome.